AUCGAUGAAGAACGCAGCGAAAUGCGAUAAGUAAUGUGAAUUGCAGAAUUCAGUGAAUCAUCGAAUCUUUGAACGCACAUUGCGCCCUCUGGUAUUCCGGAGGGCAUGCCUGUUCGAGCGUCAUUACAACCCUCAAGCUCUGCUUGGUAUUGGGCCUCGGGCGUCAGCCCGUGCCCUAAAAUCAGUGGCGGUGCCAUCUGGCUCUAAGCGUAGUAAAUUCUCUCGCUAUAGACGUCUGGUGGAUGCUUGCCAAAACCCCCAAUUUUUUACAGGUUGACCUCGGAUCAGGUAGGGAUACCCGCUGAACUUAAGCAUAUCAAUAAGCGGAGGAAAAGAAACCAACAGGGAUUACCUCAGUAACGGCGAGUGAAGCGGUAACAGCUCAAAUUUGAAAUCUGGGUCUUUUAGACUCCGAGUUGUAAUUUGUAGAAGAUGCUUCGGGUGUGGCUCCGGUCUAAGUUCCUUGGAACAGGACGUCAUAGAGGGUGAGAAUCCCGUAUGUGAUCGGUCGCCUAUGCCCAUGUGAAGCUCUUUCGACGAGUCGAGUUGUUUGGGAAUGCAGCUCAAAAUGGGUGGUAAAUUUCAUCUAAAGCUAAAUAUUGGCCAGAGACCGAUAGCGCACAAGUAGAGUGAUCGAAAGAUGAAAAGCACUUUGGAAAGAGAGUUAAACAGUACGUGAAAUUGUUGAAAGGGAAGCGCUUGCAACCAGACUUGCGCGUUGCCGAUCAUCUGGGGUUCUCCCCAGUGCACUCGGUUUCGCUCAGGCCAGCAUCGGUUUUGGUGGUUGGAUAAAGGCCUUGGGAAUGUAGCUUCUUUCGGGGAGUGUUAUAGCCCUCGGUGCAAUGCAGCCUACCGGGACCGAGGACCGCGCUUCGGCUAGGAUGCUGGCGUAAUGGUUGUAAGCGACCCGUCUUGAAAC
rnacentral:rRNA from 1 species